UACAGAGGUCUCAAGCGUUGUUCGGAUUCAUUGGGCGUAAAGGGUGCGUAGGCGGCGCGGUAAGUCGGGUGUGAAAUCUUGGAGCUUAACUCCGAAACUGCAUUCGAUACUGCCGUGCUUGAGGACUGGAGAGGAGACUGGAAUUUACGGUGUAGCGGUGAAAUGCGUAGAUAUCGUAAGGAAGACCAGUGGCGAAGGCGGGUCUCUGGACAGUACCUGACGCUGAGGCACGAAGGUCAGGGGAGCAAACGGG
rnacentral:rRNA from 1 species